rnacentral:rRNA from 1 species
GAUGAACGCUAGCGGCAGGCUUAAUACAUGCAAGUCGAGGGGUAGAGAAGUACUUGUAUUUCUUGAGACCGGCGAACGGGUGCGUAACGCGUAUGCAACCUACCUUUAUCAGGGGGAUAGCCCAGAGAAAUUUGGAUUAAUACCGCAUAAUAGAUUGAAUGGCAUCAUUUGGUCUUGAAAGAUUUAUUGGAUAGAGAUGGGCAUGCGUAGGAUUAGCUAGUAGGCGAGGUAACGGCUCACCUAGGCGACGAUCCUUAGGGGCUCUGAGAGGAGUAACCCCCACACUGGUACUGAGACACGGACCAGACUCCUACGGGAGGCAGCAGUGAGGAAUAUUGGACAAUGGGCGCAAGCCUGAUCCAGCCAUGCCGCGUGCAGGAUGGCGGUCCUAUGGAUUGUAAACUGCUUUUAUACAGGAAGAAACACCUCUACGUGUAGAGACUUGACGGUACUGUAAGAAUAAGGAUCGGCUAACUCCGUGCCAGCAGCCGCGGUAAUACGGAGGAUCCAAGCGUUAUCCGGAAUCAUUGGGUUUAAAGGGUCCGUAGGCGGUCAGAUAAGUCAGUGGUGAAAGCCCAUCGCUCAACGGUGGAACGGCCAUUGAUACUGUCUGACUUGAAUUAUUAGGAAGUAACUAGAAUAUGUAGUGUAGCGGUGAAAUGCUUAGAGAUUACAUGGAAUACCAAUUGCGAAGGCAGGUUACUACUAAUUGAUUGACGCUGAUGGACGAAAGCGUGGGUAGCGAACAGGAUUAGAUACCCUGGUAGUCCACGCCGUAAACGAUGGAUACUAGCUGUUGGGAGCAAUCUCAGUGGCUAAGCGAAAGUGAUAAGUAUCCCACCUGGGGAGUACGAACGCAAGUUUGAAACUCAAAGGAAUUGACGGGGGCCCGCACAAGCGGUGGAGCAUGUGGUUUAAUUCGAUGAUACGCGAGGAACCUUACCAAGGCUUAAAUGUAGUUUGACCGGUUGGAAACAG